rnacentral:rRNA from 1 species
UGAAUUGACGGGGCCCGCACAAGCGGAGGAACAUGUGGUUUAAUUCGAUGAUACGCGAGGAACCUUACCUGGGCUUAAAUGCAGAGUGCAUGGAGUGGAAACACUUCUUCCCUUCGGGGCUCUUUGCAAGGUGCUGCAUGGUUGUCGUCAGCUCGUGCCGUGAGGUGUCGGGUUAAGUCCCAUAACGAGCGCAACCCUUAUCGUUAGUUGCCAGCGGGUAAAGCCGGGAACUCUAGCGAAACUGCCGGUGUAAACCGAGAGGAAGGUGGGGAUGACGUCAAAUCAGCACGGCCCUUAUGUCCAGGGCUACACACGUGUUACAAUGGCCGGUACAGAGGGCAGCUACCUGGAGACAGGAUGCGAAUCUCGAAAGCCGGUCUCAGUUCGGAUCGGAGUCUGCAACUCGACUCCGUGAAGCUGGAUUCGCUAGUAAUCGCGCAUCAGCCAUGGCGCGGUGAAUACGUUCCCGGGCCUU